rnacentral:tRNA from 1 species
GGUCCCAUCGUCUAGUCCGGCCUAGGACGUCAGGUUUUCAUCCUGGAAACACGGGUUCGAAUCCCGUUGGGACCG